rnacentral:rRNA from 1 species
UACGUAGGGUCCGAGCGUUGUCCGGAAUUAUUGGGCGUAAAGGGCUCGUAGGCGGUUUGUCGCGUCGGGAGUGAAAACACGGGGCUUAACCCCGUGCCUGCUUCCGAUACGGGCAGACUAGAGGUAUGCAGGGGAGAACGGAAUUCCUGGUGUAGCGGUGAAAUGCGCAGAUAUCAGGAGGAACACCGGUGGCGAAGGCGGGUCUCUGGGCCGACACUGACGCUGAGGAGCGAAAGCGUGGGGAGCAAACAGG